rnacentral:rRNA from 1 species
CAAUAGCGUAUAUUAAAGUUGUUGCAGUUAAAAAGCUCGUAGUUGGACCUUGGACCUGGACAGGCGGCCCGCCUCACGGCGUGUACUGUCUUGCUGGGUCUUUCCUCUUGGUGAUCUGUUGUUUCGGCAGCAGGGAACCAGGACUUUUACUUUGAAAAAAUUAGAGUGUUCAAAGCAGGCUCGACGCCGGAAUAUAUUAGCAUGGAAUAAUAAAAUAGGACGUGCGGUUCUAUUUUGUUGGUUUUUGGAAUCGCCGUAAUGAUUAAUAGGGACAGUCGGGGGCAUUAGUACUCACAUGCUAGAGGUGAAAUUCUUGGAUUUUGUGAAGACUAACUUCUGCGAAAGCAUUUGCCAAGGAUGUUUUCAUUAA